rnacentral:rRNA from 1 species
CCCUUAGAUGUCCUGGGCCGCACGCGCGCUACACUGAUGCAUGCAACGAGUUUAUAACCUUGGCCUGAAAGGUCUGGGUAAUCUUUUGAACGUGCAUCGUGAUAGGGAUAGAUUAUUGCAAUUGUUAAUCUUGAACGAGGAAUUCCUAGUAAGCGCGAGUCAUCAGCUCGUGCUGAUUACGUCCCUGCCCUUUGUACACACCGCCCGUCGCUCCUACCGAUUGAGCGAUCCGGUGAAUAAUUCGGACUGCGGCAUUGACCGGUUCCCGAUCGUUGCUGCGGAAAGUUUAGUGAACCUUAUCACUUAGAGGAAGGAGAAGUCGUAACA